GACGAACGCUGGCGGCGUGCCUAAUACAUGCAAGUUGAGCGCUGAAGGUUGGUACUUGUACCAACUGGAUGAGCAGCGAACGGGUGAGUAACGCGUGGGGAAUCUGCCUUUGAGCGGGGGACAACAUUUGGAAACGAAUGCUAAUACCGCAUAAAAACUUUAAACACAAGUUUUAAGUUUGAAAGAUGCAAUUGCAUCACUCAAAGAUGAUCCCGCGUUGUAUUAGCUAGUUGGUGAGGUAAAGGCUCACCAAGGCGAUGAUACAUAGCCGACCUGAGAGGGUGAUCGGCCACAUUGGGACUGGGACACGGCCCAAACUCCUACGGGAGGCAGCAGUAGGGAAUCUUCGGCAAUGGACGAAAGUCUGACCGAGCAACGCCGCGUGAGUGAAGAAGGUUUUCGGAUCGUAAAACUCUGUUGGUAGAGAAGAACGUUGGUGAGAGUGGAAAGCUCAUCAAGUGACGGUAACUACCCAGAAAGGGACGGCUAACUGCGUG
rnacentral:rRNA from 1 species